UCACAUCAGACGACUUUCUCAGCAUUUGAACCGUCAUACUCAUUACCAAAAAACGUCGCAUUACUCACGCUCCAGGAGUUGGAAAAUGGGAAAGUUCUUUUAAGGCUUGCUCACUUAUUCGAGGUUCUUACUUGUCCUCUCUCUAUAUGUUUCCACCAUUAAUUUGUUAUGGCUAUGUGCUUUUUGGUUGUGGAAAUGUAGUUU